AUGAAGAGUUUGAUCCUGGCUCAGGAUGAACGCUAGCGGCAGGCCUAACACAUGCAAGUCGAACGGUAACAGGGAAAAGCUUGCUUUUCCGCUGACGAGUGGCGCACGGGUGCGCAACGCGUAUAGAACCUACCCUGUACAGGGGGAUAGCCCGGAGAAAUCCGGAUUAAUACCCCGUGGUAAUUAGAAUUGGCAUCGAUUUUAAUUUAAAGCUUCGGCGGUACGGGAUGGCUAUGCGUCCUAUUAGCCAGAUGGUGAGGUAACGGCUCACCAUAGCUAUGAUAGGUAGGGGCCCUGAGAGGGGGAUCCCCCACACUGGUACUGAGACACGGACCAGACUCCUACGGGAGGCAGCAGUGAGGAAUAUUGGACAAUGGGCGGGAGCCUGAUCCAGC
rnacentral:rRNA from 1 species